rnacentral:rRNA from 1 species
AGGCAGCAGUGGGGAAUAUUGCGCAAUGGGCGAAAGCCUGACGCAGCGACGCCGCGUGGGGGAUGAAGGCCUUCGGGUUGUAAACCUCUUUCAGCGCCGAAGAAGCGAGAGUGACGGUAGGCGCAGAAGAAGCACCGGCUAACUACGUGCCAGCAGCCGCGGUAAUACGUAGGGUGCGAGCGUUGUCCGGAAUUAUUGGGCGUAAAGAACUCGUAGGCGGCUUGUCGCGUCGGAUGUGAAAGCCCGGGGCUCAACUCCGGGUCUGCAUUCGAUACGGGCAGGCUAGAGUUCGGUAGGGGAGACUGGAAUUCCUGGUGUAGCGGUGAAAUGCGCAGAUAUCAGGAGGAACACCGGUGGCGAAGGCGGGUCUCUGGGCCGAUACUGACGCUGAGGAGCGAAAGCGUGGGGAGCAAACAGGAUUAGAUACCCUGGUAG